AGCAGUGACGAUAGCAACAAAUUAAAGUCACUCCUGGAAUUAAUGAUGGCGUAUUCGCCGAAGACUGCAUCAAAAACAUGGACCGUGGCGAAACAAUUAGCCAAAACCAUGCAUAUGAUUAGCAGUGGAGAAAAUUCUGUCGAAGACAGCUCGGAAUGUCAAGGUGUGGAAUUUUCGGUGCAUCUUGGACAGAUAUUGGCAAAGUCAGUGUCAGGACGUCAAGAUGUAGAUACAACUAACUGCGAAUGGAAUGAUUUGCCCACUAUUCCAACGAAAAACGAAAUUUUGAGCGGUAAAGUAUUUCAUUUAUU